rnacentral:misc_RNA from 1 species
AAGUCGUAACAAGGUUUCCGUAGGUGAACCUGCGGAAGGAUCAUUAACGAAUAUCUAUGGCGUUGGUUGUAGCUGGCUCCUAGGAGUAUUGUGCACGCCCGUCAUUCAUAUCAUCUUUCCACCUGUGAACCAUGUGUAGGCCUGGAUACCCCUCGCUUUGGCAACAAAGCGGAUGCAAGGAUUGCUGCGUCGACAAGGCCGGCUCUCUUUGAAUUUCCAGGUUCUAUGUCUUUUACACACCCCAUUGAAUGAUUUAGAAUGUAGUCAAUGGGCUUUCAUGCCUAUAAAAAACUAUACAACUUUCAGCAACGGAUCUCUUGGCUCUC